rnacentral:rRNA from 1 species
CUACGUAGGUGGCAAGCGUUGUCCGGAUUUACUGGGUGUAAAGGGCGCGUAGGCGGGAAUGCAAGUCAGAUGUGAAAUCCAUGGGCUCAACCCAUGAACUGCAUUUGAAACUGUGUUUCUUGAGUGAUGGAGAGGCAGGCGGCAAUUCUAGUGGAGUGGGGGAAUGCGUAGAUAUUAGGAGGAACACCAGUGGCGAAGGCGGCCUGCUGGACAUCAACUGACACUGAGGCGCGAAAGCGCGGGGAGCAAACAGGAUUAGAUACCCUGGUAGUCCGCGCCGUAAACGAUGAAUACUAGGUGUGGGGGGACUGACCCCUUCCGUGCCGGAGCAAACGCAAUAAGUAUUCCACCUGGGGACUACGGUCGCAAGACUAAAACUCAAAUGAAUUGACGGGG